rnacentral:rRNA from 1 species
GACGAACGCUGGCGGCGUGCUUAACACAUGCAAGUCGAACGGUGAAGGGAUCAGCUUGCUGGUUCUGGAUGAGUGGCGAACGGGUGAGUAACACGUGAGUAACCUGCCCCCUUCUUCUGGAUAACCGCAUGAAAGUGUGGCUAAUACGGGAUAUUCUGCGCCUGCUGCAUGGUGGGUGUGGGAAAGAUAUUGUUUCGGUGGGGGGUGGGCUCGCGGCCUAUCAGCUUGUUGGUGGGGUGAUGGCCUACCAAGGCGGUGACGGGUAGCCGGCCUGAGAGGGUGGACGGUCACACUGGGACUGAGACACGGCCCAGACUCCUACGGGAGGCAGCAGUGGGGAAUAUUGCACAAUGGGCGCAAGCCUGAUGCAGCGACGCCGCGUGAGGGAUGGAGGCCUUCGGGUUGUGAACCUCUUUCGCCAGUGAAGCAGGCCUGUCCCUUGUGGGUGGGUUGACGGUAGCUGGAUAAGAGGCGCCGGCUAACUACGUG